AUCAAAAGGCGAAGGCAAACAGAGUACCUGAGAAACCACCAGUUGCCCAAUCCUCGCACUUACAUCAACGAAAGAGGCUAUUCAUUCCCAAAGAAGACUGAGGUUCUGUUGACAAGGAUUACACCGUUGAAACAGAUGGUGGAGGUGACUGAAGCAGGAGAUGCGAUGGAAGAAUGAGUUACUGUGGUUGAACCAUGCUCGGUAUUUUGUAUUGAAUUCUUGCCAUUUAUGACACUGUUUACUCUCAUAUUGUAUCAGGUGUGACAUUAAAAAUUUAAAACUAAGUUGUUUCCUUUCUGCAAUUAACAUUUGUUUAGUUCCUUCAUUAUGUUAUAUACGAUCUUUGUGGUGGUAUGGAAUCUCAUAUGAA